GUACGGUUUGGCCAAUGUACAUGGCAGAGGCAUUGUUGGCACAUGAUGGGUGACUCUCCUGAUCUGAUGUAGAUGGAAAAAUGCAUUCCUGGUCAUAGUUGCAACACAACUAUCUACCAGCAGCUGAGGAUCCAGCAGUUACCCCUAGAUUGAGAACACAAGUCACGAAUGACAGGUGUUUGCAAAUUGUUCAGUUUUCUCUGUGCUAGCACAUGUGCACUCACUUGGAGGGACUAUUGUACUUGACCUUCAGUUGGAAUGACCUUGGCGUGGAUGAUAGUUCCAAUCUGAUCAGGUCUUAUAUGGUAACUCUCUCAAGUACACCCAAGAAUACAGCCAGAUGAGGAGAAAGCACCCAUGGGCCAGAGCAAAAUACCCAGGAGAAUCCAGUGAAAUAACCAAUGGGAAAUCAUCUGCUACCCUAUUGCUCUCUUUUGAUCGCUGGAUGCUGCUCAUUGUCUACUGUUGGCCUAGGCUAUGGUCCAUAGACCAAUGCAUGGCUGGGAACAGGGCUGCAAAUGGGGUGAAAGAGCGAGAGGAAAUGCUGCUGAAGGCCCAUGGAAACCUUUGAUGCAGUGUUCGAUAGCCUUCUGGGAUACGAGUCAUAAAUCCAAUGAAGAAUGAACGAUAGAGCUCCCAAGUGAGUGGAAUGGAUGCAUUGUUGGAAGUCAGGGUCCCUGGGACUAAGGAGCAAUUGUCACACUCCCUAGAUUAGUAGAAAGUGAGGGGUGGUAAAUAAUUCUGUAUCCAUAUUUUGUGGGUGGGGAAAGAGGUACAAGAUAAUUUGACUUUACCAAGUUCACGGAAGCAGCUUGGGCAUAAUUUUAUUACUCCUCCCCUCUUCUUCUCCCCUAUUAUAGGCGACAUCAUUCCUUGUCUUCAGUAAGAUUGUAAGCUCUUCUUAUGUUUUGUGCAGCAUCUGGGGUGUUACCAGAGUAUAUUAUUAUUAUUAUUAUAGUCAAUUACU